GACGAACGCUGGCGGCGUGCUUAACACAUGCAAGUCGAACGGUGAAGCCCUUCGGGGUGGAUCAGUGGCGAACGGGUGAGUAACACGUGAGCAACCUGCCCCUGGCUCUGGGACAACCACUGGAAACGGUGGCUAAUACCGGAUACGACCCGCCUCGGCAUCGAGUGUGGGUGGAAAGUUUUUCGGCUGGGGAUGGGCUCGCGGCCUAUCAGCUUGUUGGUGAGGUGAAGGCUCACCAAGGCGACGACGGGUAGCCGGCCUGAGAGGGCGACCGGCCACACUGGGACUGAGACACGGCCCAGACUCCUACGGGAGGCAGCAGUGGGGAAUAUUGCACAAUGGGCGAAAGCCUGAUGCAACGACGCCGCGUGAGGGAUGACGGCCUUCGGGUUGUAAACCUCUUUCAGCUCCGAAGAAGCGAAAGUGACGGUAGGAGCAGAAGAAGCACCGGCUAACUACGUG
rnacentral:rRNA from 1 species